rnacentral:rRNA from 1 species
AGAGUUUGAUCCUGGCUCAGAACGAACGCUGGCGGCAGGCCUAACACAUGCAAGUCGAGCGCUGUAGCAAUACAGAGCGGCGCACGGGUGAGUAACACGUGGGAACGUGCCCUUUGGUUCGGAAUAACUCAGGGAAACUUGAGCUAAUACCGGAUGAGCCCUAACGGGGAAAGAUUUAUCGCCAUUGGAGCGGCCCGCGUUGGAUUAGCUAGUUGGUGGGGUAAUGGCCUACCAAGGCAACGAUCCAUAGCUGGUUUGAGAGAACGACCAGCCACACUGGGACUGAGACACGGCCCAGACUCCUACGGGAGGCAGCAGUGGGGAAUCUUGGACAAUGGGGGAAACCCUGAUCCAGCCAUGCCGCGUGAGUGAUGAAGGCCCUAGGGUUGUAAAACUCUUUCGGCGGGGACGAUAAUGACGGUACCCGCAGAAGAAGCUCCGGCUAACUUCGUGCCAGCAGCCGCGGUAAUACGAAGGGGGCUAGCGUUGUUCGGAAUUACUGGGCGUAAAGCGCGCGCAGGCGGUCCUUCAAGUCAGGGGUGAAAGCCCAGGGCUCAACCCUGGAAUGGCCUUUGAGACUAGAGGACUUGGGUACGGGAGAGGUGAGUGGAAUUCCGAGUGUAGAGGUGAAAUUCGUAGAUAUUCGGAAGAACACCAGUGGCGAAGGCGGCUCACUGGCCCGUUACCGACGCUCAGGCGCGACAGCGUGGGGAGCAAACAGGAUUAGAUACCCUAGUAGUCC